UGUUGGCCCUCCCUCUGCCGUUAUGAUUAUGAAGCUCUGCGCGGCAGCCCGCCGCUUCCUAUCUGGAUUUCUGUCGUACGUUAGUUGGCAGCAUCUUUAUCACAGACUUUCCAGAAAUCUGUCGCAGACUUGUUAAGCCAUCAAAAAACCUUAUUUAGUUCUAGCUCUAGGCUAUGGGACUAUGAGAGGACUCCGAGACGGUGUCCAAGUGAGAUGGCUGGCGAGGUUGUUCGAGGUCAUUUCAUGAUGAGGAUGGACCAGACUUUAAGACAUUCUGAGCUCCAUGAAUGUCAUGAGACACUCCAGGAGACGGUGGUUGCAAUGCAUUAUCAACACCCCGCAACCCCAACCCUCCAAUGGAACCCAGAACCCUCCGGAGUUCCUCAGGACCUGUCGGCAUGAGUGAGGCGAACACAUCGUGCGUUGGAGGAAGAGUUGCAGUGACGACUUGGACCACAGGCCAGAAGCCUGAAAUAGAUUCUUUGAGAAUCUUAAAAGUCAAACAACUGGGCCUUGCGGGGAAGACUGAUGACGUGAGAAAAAAAGGAAAAAUUUGAUGGGCAGACGUGAGCGGCAGUGGUGCUGGUGGCGCAGGAUGUCCUGGAGGAGGACGACCUCGACUACCUCAAAGGAGCUGAUUCUAGCCUUGUGCCUGAUGGGGAAACAAGUGCACAUUUGUUGUGCUCUGUCUGAGAUGGAGAAGUGUGCGCCUUGCUGGCGUACUUCAAUUGAUGCCAGCAAGCCCAGCCAGCGAGUGACCGAUAGUGGCCGGUUC